UCCAGCGCGCAGGCGCAUACUUAUUCUCUGCGCGGCGUCCGUUUCUCCAGACUUUCCACUUUUGGCAAGCUAUGUUCCCUGGCUUGUGUCCAGUCUACAAAAGGUCUUAAAACCACGGAGCAGGGCUUUAAGCGUUUAGGAUCUCGCUUUUUGCAGGCUUUUGACAAGAAGGCUCAGAUCUCCACUAACCAGUGGCCACAUUUUACCAUCAUGAUCAUUGAGUAGCUCACAACCAAACCGUUUGCUUUAUCACAGCAAGAAGAGUGAGGAGAGCCAAAAAUGUCACAGAAGGGAGAAGCUGGAGGAAACUGAGGAGGAGGGCAACCCUGUAGGAGGACCAGCAGUCUCAACCUGGACCCUGAGAUCUCUCAGACACUGGACCACCAACCAGGCAGCAUGCACCAGCUGAUAUGAGGCCCCCAGCACAUAUACAGCAGAGGACUGCCAGGUCUGCGUACAGUCAGAGAAGAUGCACCUAACUCUCGAGACUGGAGGUCCCAGGAGAGGGGAGGUCUGAUGGGGGAGCAUCCUCGUGGAGACCGGAGGAGGAGGUAUGGGAUGUGGAACAGUCAGAGAGUAGACCCAGAGGGGGAUAAAAUCUGGAGUGUAAAAAAAAAAAAAAAAA
rnacentral:sRNA from 1 species